CUAUCAGGGGUCAGUAUGCUGCUUAUGUGACAACCCUAUCUAUCAUUUUUGGGAACUCAAAGGCUCAAAGGGAGACAUGGGGGACCCAGGUAUGCCAGGUGAAAAAGGAAGAAUUGGACUUCCUGGAUUACCGGGAACCAAGGGCAUGAAAGGAGAAAAAGGAGAUUCUGGAAUGCUGGGUCCACAGGGUCUUUCUAUAAGUCCAUGGCAGCUGAACUGCCAUGGUUCCUGAACCUUCUCACAUGCUGACCUGUUAUUUACCUAUUCCACCUCUGCCAGCAACUACUAAUGAUCUUAGCAGAACCCCAGCACAAGAUUCAAGUUGAACUGCCUUAUCUAAAUGAAGUAACCAAAUACAUUUUUAUUUUUUGGACAUACAGAUCAUAGGCCCAGCAGGCCUACCAGGUCUCCAUGGCCCACCUGGCCCCAUGGUAAAUUUUCCUUCUUCCUAAAAUGUAAUUGCUUAUUUAUGAGCAUGUUACUAGAGAAAACAUGAAAACAUCCCUCUAAACAGCCAGCUUGCAUUUUGUACUCUUCUCUGUGGAAUGGAUGGAAAAUACCAGGUGAUCUGAGAUAAACUAACUUUAUCAUGUUGUCUUUCACUCUCCCAAACACAUAUGUUGGGAAGAGUUAGAGUAGUUCUCUUCUACGACAGAGGUAAGGAAAGACAGAUCUAGCAAGCUCUACUAUAACCUUACAGCAUGAACGCUGGCAAAUCAUUUUAUCCAGUCGCUGCUGUAACCUGAUACAAGUAGAAUAAGAUUAAGAAUCGGCUGGACACAAUGGCCCAUGCCUGUAAUCGCAACAGUUUGG